ensembl:miRNA
CAGAAGGGAAAGAGUUUGUAUUGUUUCUUUUGUAUUUUUAAGACACUCAAACCAAAGUCUUUUCUGUUUUCUG